ACAAGGAAGUUAUAGGAAAACUAAAGUUUGGUCUUAAAUUCGAUCUGAGGAGACCAGAGAAAUGGCGUAUGCCACAGGAGAUUAUGACGAAUUAAACUUUGAAGUUGUAAGAGAAUUGGGAAAGGGGUCAUUUGGAGUUGUUCACCUAAUUUCGCACAAUAAAACCGAAGAACAGUUAGCCAGGAAAACAAUAAGUCUCAAGAAUUUGUCAGAGGCUGACAAACAAGCCACACAGAAAGAAGUGGAAGUGAUGAAGACAACUAAUGAUCAUCCACAUAUCUUGUGUUUAAAAUGGGCUACAAGAACAAAAGAUUAUCUAUACAUAUACACCGAAUACUGUUCUCGUGGAGAUCUUCAAAACCUUUUAAACCAAUUGAAAAAGCCAGCUUUUCCAGAGAAGCUGAUAGUUUGCUGGCUGGGUCAAAUAGCUGAUGCUUUAAAGUACCUACAUGGUAAGAGGAUCAUACAUCGAGACUUAAAACCAGCCAACAUAUUUUUAACUGGAAAAGCUGAUAUUAAAAUCGGUGAUUUGGGUAUAGCCAGGGUUAUGAAAGUGACAGAGCCACUACCGAAGACAAUAAUUGGUACUCCUGUUUACACGAGUCCAGAAAUGUUUAAUGGUCGUGGAUACAAUGGGAAGACAGAUAUCUGGAGUUUGGGUUGUGUUAUAUAUGAAUUGGCUACAAAUAAGCUGGCAAUUACUGCUUCACAUCGUACUGGUAUUGGCAUGACCUUGAGUGAACCACCAUCAAACCUACCAGACACAUACAGUCAAGAAUUGUGUAGUGUUACCUUAGCUAUGCUGUGUAAAGAUCCAGACUCUCGGCUAAACGCACAAGAUAUCAUCAGUAGGGAGCCAGUAAAAAGUUAUCUUCGAGAACCUUAUCUUCCACAGCCAGAGUUCGAAUCUCUGAAAUCAACAAGACUCAUUUAAUUUUGGGCCAAAACAACCGAUUAAGACUUCUGCGGAAAUGUAUCGUACAGAUAUUGGUGUGCCAAAAGACGUCCUCUCCACACAAAAUAUGGAUAGCGACCAAAUAACUGAAGCUCAUGUAGCUUUCUCAGACAAUUAAUCAAUGAGUGUACAUGUAUUAAAUUGAAUUUAAAGGAGCUAAACCGCUAAUAUUUUGGAUCUAGAAAUUGACACAAAUGGGUCGCAACGCAUAUAAUAAUGUACUGUGAAUGUAUAU